rnacentral:rRNA from 1 species
UACGUAGGUGGCGAACGUUAUCCGGAAUUAUUGGGCGUAAAGGGUGCGCAGAUGGUCUGACAAGUUAGCAGUGGCAAAUCGAGGCUCAACCUCGUGGAAACUGGUAAUACUGUCUGACUCGAGUACAGGAGAGGUUAACGGAACUCCAUGUGGAGCGGUAAAAUGUGUAGAUAUAUGGAAGAACACCAAUAACGGCGAAGGCAGUUAACUAUUCUGUUACUGACAUUGAGGCACGAAAGCGUGGGGAGCAAAACGG